GUCGGCGUAGAAGGUACUUUGUAAAUAACUGAUCCUUCGGUUAAGUGGAUCCAAAAGAUGACAUCGCAUAUUAGGACCUAUACACCUACAUAUACACAAGUACACGUCCUAACGAAAAGCGCACCUCCAAUGUUACCAGCACCGCUAUCGCUACUACUACUUUGGAAGCAUGAUCUUCUCACAAGCUCGUACAACCUCCCACUACUCAAACCAUAGAGACCAUCUCUCUGAUAACGGUCGUAUCUGCCAACGAACUCCUUCGUUGCUUUCUCGGGACACUACAAAUAUUGCGGAAGUCGUGUAGCCGAACACUAGUUAACUACUUACGACCGUUUUUAAAGCGGAUCAAGAAGAUUAAUAACGAAGACUUUGAGAUGUCGUAAAUAACGUCAAGAUCUUCGCGUCUCGAAAGAGCAUCAUAUUCUCGUGAGUAUGGUUGGUAGAAGGAUAGCAACACGUCUCGAAGACGUUUAUGCGCUGAUGCAGCAACAAAGGAGCACCCGAGCGUUCUGUUCUUCGGUGUUGAAUUGCAGCACUUCUACUUUUCGGCACGAAACGAGAAAGUUGAUGCGAGUAAGGUUGAUACGAUGGAGAGAAGAGAAUAAGUGAGAGAGACUUUAAAAAGAAUUUCCAAGGCGUGAUGUUACUCAAAUAUCCUGCAUUCCAUAGCUUUGUAUUCGAGUUUAUACAUACAUACAUAUAUACAUACAUACAUACAUACAUACAUAUAUAUAUAUAUAUAUAUGUAUAUAUAUAUAUGUAGAGGAUUAUGUCUUCUCGUAUUCAUUCUCUUUUCAUAAGUUCAUUGAAGGAUCUUAUAAGGAUGAUCUUUCGAAGAUUGAUCUAACAAAAGGAGCAAAUUCCUCUUGCGUUGUAUGUCUAAUAGGCCGUUAAAAUUCUCUAUAAUUAAUUUCCAACUAAUUACGCAUAGGACUACUUUGUACGUGAUAAAGGGGCAUUAUUCAAAUUUUCUUAUCGGACGUUUAAAGAGUAAUUUAAAAUAUAAGAAAGAAAAGAGGAAAAAAAAAAGGGAAAAAGAAGGGACCAGGUUCGCGUUAACGUAACAGCGAAGCAAAUUAAGCAAAGUGUAACUGGCAGAAAAUAAUCGUUCCUCUAAUGCUGUGCCAAAGGGGGAGAGUUAUUCGUCGUUCGUUUCUUUUCUUAUCGCUUACGGUCUGCCUUGAAAACGUUUGCCAUAGUGUUAUAAAAGACAAAACAAUCGAGAACACGAAACGAUCGUAAGUAAAACGCGAUAACUAAAACAUUUUCUACGAUGAUGUACUACGAGGAGGUAAAGAGAAUUAGAAAAAAAAAAACUUGAGUAGGGGGAGAGAUAGAGAAAGAGAGAAAGAGAGAAAGAGAGAGAGAGAGAGAGAGAGAGAGAAAAAUCGAUUUCCCUUUGAAGAAAUUAGUUCUCCCUUCGGGGAAAUUCGUUGGAAGUGAAAAGAAAUUUAUUCCUUCCGAGAAAGAAAGAGAGAGAGAGAGAGAGAGAGAGAGAGAGAGAGAGAGAGAAAGGGUCGGGCUACGUUCAUUAACGACGAUUUACAUCGCGACGACUAAAAGUUUAGGUGAAGAUGAAGAAGAAAAAGAAGAAAGAGAAAAAGAGGAGAAAGAGGAGGAGGAGGAGGAGGAGAAAGAAGAGGAAGAAAAAGAAGAAGAAGAAGAAGAAGAAGACGCAGAUUACUCGAUUCGUAUAAUAUCGAGUUAGCUCUCGAACUCGCUUGAGAAAGGUCGAAAGGAAAAACUCUUUCUCUCUUUUUAAAAGAAAAUUGAAGAAAAAAUUCUGAAUCGUAUAA